rnacentral:rRNA from 1 species
UACAGAGGGGGCAAGCGUUGUUCGGAAUUACUGGGCGUAAAGGGCGCGUAGGCGGCCUUCUAAGUCGAACGUGAAAAUCCCCGGGCUCAACCCGGGAACUGCGUCCGAUACUGGCAGGCUUGAAUCCGGGAGAGGGAUGCGGAAUUCCAGGGUGUAGCGGUGAAAUGCGUAGAUAAUCUGGAGGAACACCGGUGGCGAAGGCGGCGAAUCCUGGACCCG